GCAGAUUGCUAAUUUCCAUCCAGCCAGACAAAAAAACAGUGUAUAUGCUGUGAAAUCUAUAUGCUGAAAGGAGUAAUGAAGGUGGUGGAAACUUCUAUCCGUCAGCCAGCACAAGAGAUGGUUACCAUGAAAAAUGAACGGAGGCUGCUGCAGUGUUUUUCAACCUUUUUUGAGCCAUGACCAAUUAGGUGAAAUUGGAUCAUUUUCCAUUGCACACCUGACGAUCACUCACAGUGGUUGAAAAACGCUGGGCUAGUGGACAAACAUCGCUGACCAAUGAGCCUCAAUGAUUUCAAAGGGUUCUUUUUCUACCUGAUAUUUUCUCCAACAGUCCCAAAAUAUGCACGUUGGGUCAACUGGUUUGUCUCUGUGCUUCCCUGUGGUGAACUGGUGACCUGUCCUCUCCAAUGAACCAAUGACCACUGGAGAUAGGCAGCCUUUAUGGAUAAUUUUGUAUGUAUAGAGAAUGAAUGAAUGACCGGACCCCCACCCUCAUUUAA